GUACGAAUAGCUUAGUUGGUUAGAGCAUAUAGCUGUUAACCACAACAUCGGAUGUUCGACCCUUCCUUCUAACG
rnacentral:tRNA from 1 species